UUUUUGUGUAAGUGUAUUUUAUAAUUGUUAGAUUUAUAUAAAAAGUUUUAUAUGUUUAUAUAGUAAUUUUAUAAUUUUAUUUUGAGGAAAUUAAAGUGUUUAAAGCAUGAAUGUUUGGUUGAAUGAUGUAGUAUGGAAUAAUAAAAAUGUAAUAGAAUUUGUUUUAAUGGUUGGUUUUAAAAUGUUAUUAAAUUAUUUUUAAGAAUAGUUGGGGGUAUUUGUAUUUAACAAGCAAGAGGUGAAAUUCUUAGAUUUGUUGAAGAUAAAUUAUUGCGAAAGCAUUUAUUAAAAAUGUUUUUUUAAAUUAAGAACAAAAGUUAAGGGAUCGAAGACGAUCAGAUACCGUCGUAGUCUUAAUUAUAAACUAUGCUGAUUAGGGAUUAGAUGUUUUUAAUUAAAUGAAUUGUUUAGUAUUUUUAAAGAAAUCAAAGUUUUUAGGUUUUGGGGGGAGUAUAGUUGCAAAGUUGAAACUUAAAGGAAUUGACGGAAAGGCACCACCAGAAGUGGAGUAUGCGGUUUAAUUUGACUCAACACGGGAAAUCUUAUUAGGUCCAGACAUAGGAAGGAUUGAUAGAUUAAUAGUUUUUUUUUGAUUUUAUGGGUGGUG
rnacentral:rRNA from 1 species